CACUCACCUCGUUCCGUAAAGGGUCGAGCUGGUAGACGUUCUGCAGCUGAUUUCUUAGCCGCAUAGCUAUCGCCAUCGGACCUUGAUCCGCCAUCUUUGGGAAUUCUGCAUACUUCAUCCGGGUAACGGGAGAGUGGCAUAUCCUGUCUGGUACAGUCUAAAGCCGUUCAACCCAGUGUGAUCAGUGAGUGUGGGCCAACUAGCUCUAAAAGGUAUAUUUUUGGAACACAUGAUAACAAUGCAGUACUACACAGAACUAAUUCAGGUGCAGUUCUAGAUGCAAAGAAAAACAAUGAAAGCCAAACUAAGAAGGCAGGUAAGGUCUUGAAACUCUUUGCAUAUUGUAUACAUUUCUGUAUAUUUGAACUGGUGUAUUUAAUGGUAAAUGUAAAAAAAAAAAAAAAAAACACCAGAGCUAUCAUGAAAAUGUCAUAAAAUACACUCUAAAUUGGCCUGGUGGGUCAUUUUGUGUUGUUUUUAAUAUUUAUGGGUUUGUUUUUUUUUUUUUUUUUUAACCCAAAUGCUGGGUUCUGCUUGUUGGGUCAUUUUAUUGAGUUAUUGUUUUAUAUUUUUACCCUGGUGCUGGUUAUUUUUUUUUCUACCUAAUCGUUGGGUGAAACUUCUCAACAACGCAGCUGCCGAGAGCACAGUCUUUUUACGGGUGUGCCUCACACGUCCUGAAAAGCGAAGCUGCGGGCUCUUUGAUUGUCCACUGGUGGCUGGCUGCAGUACAGGUCAUAAACCCUGCCCUCUCAGUGUAAACGAAUGGGACUUGAAUCAAUAAAAAAAAAAAAUUACACUUCCAGUACAAUUUUCCAAAAGAUAGUUUUGAUUUUUUUGCUAUAAAAACGGGGCAUGUCAUUAUAGUUGAUUGGGUCUGUGGGAGUUUGAUACAGACUCUGGCUCCAAAUGACGUCUUUUACUCAAGAUGGCAGCGGCCAUACUGAGAUGCUUUGGCUAUUGAGAGUGAGGAGUUGUUGUCAUGGUACAGAACCCCUCCCCUCGAUAUCACGGUAUCUCGCGGGAUCCUCACCCUCUCCGCCAUGUUGGCAGGAUUCCGGCGGCAAAACAUGAUUGUUUACGUGUGUUGUUAACUCGGUAGUAGAGGAGGUUCUUGCAAUUCUGCACUGUUUUACCAUGCCUGGAAGUCAGUGCUGCGUUAAAAACUGCUCCAGUGCCUCACACGAUACAUAUGGAAAACAUAGGAAUACAGUUUUUUAGGUUACCGAAAUGGACACAGCGUCAGGGAGAGCAAGUCUCUGACCUGGCGAGGAGACGCCGGAUUUCUUGGUUGGCUGCAAUAAGAAGAAAGGACCUUACUUUCGAUCUCACCCCCAAGUCGAUGAGGGUGUGUUCUCUGCAUUUUCACUUGGGUACGUUCUCUAAAAAAUGUCUUUAUGUUGUUGUCUCUUAAAGCUACGAAGUGUAGGUUACCUAAUGUUGUUGCAAACCCUGAAGUGCAUCUGAAGUUGCUGCCUAGCUAACUAUCUAACAAACUGUUAUCUCUUCGAAAAUGCUCAAUGGCCAACCAUUAACGUUAACUAAAAAGUAGUUGAGAUUCUGCUCAUGACAUUAUGCUACCUUGUUGGUGGAAUAUUGUUGGUGGAAUAUGGUCUCUGUAGUGCGUUUGUCUCUGUCUCUUUGUUCUCUACACCAGUGGUUCCCAACCUUUUUUUAUCUUGUGUACCCCCUGAGCCCUUUUGUCAUACCAUGAGUAGCGUUACCCUCUCAGGCUCUGUCCCGCUGAAAUAAUAAAUGCGCAAAAAUUAAAGAGCUCUGGAAUGUUUAGUCGCGCCUCUGUGAAGUUAUGAAGGCGUUGCCCCUGGCAACCGAUAGCGUCUCCUACCGUCAUGGCCGACCGACUCAGACCCCUCCCAAAUCAACCCAAAUCGGCACGUGACUCCUCACUCUCAGUGGAAGUGGAAGGAAGUGGAGAUGUGUUGUCCAUCUUUUUUUACAGUCUAUUGCUUUUUAAGUCCACAGGAGAGAGCGGUCCUCAGCGCCGCUGCCGAUUUGUUGCACUCUUUCCA